AUUGAGUGUGACCACCAGGCAACAUCUGGCAAGGAACUGAGUUCCAACAGUGCACAAGGAAGUGAAUCCUGACAACAGUCCCAAGAGCUUAGGAGUGAAUCCUUCUCCACUCCAGCCUCAGAUAAGUCUUGCCCUUAAUUGCAGCCUCAUGAAAGACUCUGAAACCUUGGGCCCAGGUGGAUUAAAGACUUAAACUGUAAAACUCCCAGGAGAAAACAUACAGAGGAUCCUUCAUUAUAUUGGUAUUGGCAGUGAUUUAUUGGAUAUGAUGCCAAAAGCACAGUACACAAAAACAAAAACAGAAUACAGCAACGGAACAAUUAACAGAGUGAAAAAGUAACCUGUGGAAUGGGAAAAUGGGAAUGCUGUUCUGCAUAGCAACGGAACAAUUGGCAGAGUGAAAAGGU
rnacentral:lncRNA from 1 species